AGCGAACGCUGGCGGCAGGCCUAACACAUGCAAGUCGAGCGCCCCGCAAGGGGAGCGGCAGACGGGAGAGUAACACGUGGGAACGUACCCUUCAGUUCGGAACAACCCAGGGAAACUUGGGCUAAUACCGAAUACGUCCGUAAGGAGAAAGAUUUAUCGCUGAAGGAUCGGCCCGCGUCUGAUUAGCUUGUUGGUGAGGUAACGGCUCACCAAGGCGACGAUCAGUAGCUGGUCUGAGAGGAUGAUCAGCCUCACUGGGACUGAGACACG
rnacentral:rRNA from 1 species